rnacentral:misc_RNA from 1 species
CCGAGUCUACAACUCCCAAACCCCUGUGAACAUACCACUUGUUGCCUCGGCGGAUCAGCCCGCUCCCGGUAAAACGGGACGGCCCGCCAGAGGACCCCUAAACUCUGUUUCUAUAUGUAACUUCUGAGUAAAACCAUAAAUAAAUCA